rnacentral:rRNA from 1 species
AAUUUACCCUUUAAUUGGGGGCCAGAAUGAACGGUGAUACUACCUAAGAUAUGAUACCUCUUAUGUGAACCUUUAGUCUGAGUGAAAAUGCUCAGGUUCUAACCUUAGACAAAAAGACCCUAUGAAGCUUACAGCCUCCCUACCACAUAAAUUUCUUGCUGUUUCUUUGGGGAAAAGCACAAUAAUACUAUUUCUAUGCGUAAGAUCCUUAUAAGAAUUACGAAAAAGCUCCUCUAGGGAU